UCGGGGCUCCCCCCGCCGCCCCCGGCCCCGCUCCUGUGCGGGGCUCCCGGCGGCAGCAACACCGCGGCCGCUGCCCCCUGCGGCGUUUGUACAUUUAGCGGAGCGGGCCCCGUCCCGGCAGGUAUGAUUCCGAUAGGAAAAGCGCUGCUUGUGCCGAGAGCUCCUCCCUUGUGUCUGUCCCUUGGUGGCGUCGGAGCAGGGAGAGCACAGGCAGCAUCGCCCCACGGCCGCCUCCUCCCGCCUAGCGCUCCAGGACCCGCAUCCCAGCGUGAAUGGGCAGCGCGGCGCUACCCGGCCGGUUUCUGCCCGACCUUGGCCUUGGUCUGCGCCACUCCCUGGGAGGUUUGCUCCUUCCUUCUGUAGGAUAAGGAUUUAAGCCCUUAAAUCUCACACUUGUACCGUGUGGAGGGCACCUCCUGUUACACAGAGCUCCAGCAUCCAAGCCCGAGGAGGUGGUGGGUGAGCUCCAUGAUCCACUCCCGCAUACGUUCAGAAGCAUCUGGAAAAACGGCGUUCCUACUACAAGUGCACUUCCUAGGAAGUGUUGUCAAGAAAGGGGAUGAGUAGUUACGAUGCAUAAAUGGACGCGGCUCCUUAGCCACAUCUCCAGCGGCCUGAAAAACGGCCGCCCUGUCUUUAUCCACAUUUAUAUUGAUUUGGCCAAAUCGUUAUUAUUAUUUUUUUAAAGACUGUACUUAUUCCGUACUUCCUCUGCGAAGAUUUCUCCCGUUUUUCGCCAUUCAGGCAAAGUUUGUCAGCUCUGCUUCGACAGCUGAUGGCUCGGUGGCCGCAUCUGAGCGGCGGGGCCGGCAGGGAUGGAUGGGACAGGGAUGCGCAUGGCACUCUUGCGCGGGGUGCGCAGGGGAUGGUGGUCAGCCCCGGUGUGAGGCCCCUGUCGCUCCUCGCACCGGCUGAGGACGGCAGCCGUCCCCGCUCGCCAUUAGCAGCGUGGCGAGCUCGGGGACCGGAGGUGUUUGGAACCGGAGGUGUUGCCUCUUUCCGCGGCGGGAUGCGACCGCCGAUGUUCGCCCUGCGCCACCUCUCCUCGGAUAGCGCACGGGAGUCCUUUGAGGUCCCUAUCCACCCCAUCCCGACCGAGGUUUGGGGUCCGCUGGAUCCCGCCGUGCCAUUCCCCCCUCAUCCCCGUCUCUCAUCUUUGCUGCGCUAACCCAAGGAGAUGGGGGAGGGACCCACCCCCUCGUCGCCCCACCGUUGCAGGGGACCGCCGCGAAACCGCUGCCGGCUUCCCAGCCAGGGAAUAACGGGGGAAGGAAAAGUAUCUCCGAAACCUCUCGCCUCGGCAACUACUUGCUCUCGGUUUACAGCGCAGCCCGCUCCUCUGCCAAGGAGCGCUGCGACGGUGGUUGAUGGCUCUACACGGAUGACAAACCCGCGCAGAUUGCAAGUGUGCAUUAGAUGACUAGCGUUUGUGGGACCAUUAAAAUGGUGAUGUGAACUUUUCUACCUCGCGCUGUUUAAUGUAGUAAACAUGCUCGAUGUUGAAAAUUUA